rnacentral:rRNA from 1 species
AACUUUGGACAAUGUGGGCAACCCUGUUCCCGCCAUCCCUCGUGUGCGAGGAAGACCUUCGGGUUGCAAAGCACUUUUGGCAGGGAAGAAAAGGCUCUGGCUAAUACCUGGAGCUGCUGACGGUACCUGCAGAAUAAGCACCGGCGAACUACGUCCCAUCAGCUGAGGUAAUACGUAGGGUGCAAGCGUUAAUCGGAAUUACUGGGCGUAAAGCGUGCGCAGGCAGUUCGGCAAGAAGGAUGUGAAAUCCCAGGGCUUAACCUUGGAACUGCAUUCUUAACUGCCGGGCUAGAGUACGUCAGAGAGGGGUAGAAUUCCGCGUGUAGCAGUGAAAUGCGUAGAGAUGCGGAGGAAUACCGAUGGCGAAGGCAGCCGCCUGGGAUAAUACUGACGCUCAUGCACGAAAGCGUGGGGGGCAAAC